UGAUCACUUCAUGUGUAUCUUCCUUUUUGCAAAUGUUGAAUCUUUUUUGGGUUGUUUGAGGAGUUAGUUUUUUUCUGAUGAUUAAUACAUGAGUAUAGGUGUGAGAGGUUUGAUGUGAAUGGUUUCAGGAGAGGACGAGGUCAACCGAAGAAAGUAUUGUGGGAGGAGAGGUGAUUAGACAUGAUAUGACACAGUUUCAACUUAUCAAGUACCUGAUUUUAUUAGAUGGGAG
rnacentral:misc_RNA from 1 species